UACGGGGGGGGCAAGCGUUGUUCGGAAUUACUGGGCGUAAAGGGCUCGUAGGUGGCCAACUAAGUCAGACGUGAAAUCCCUCGGCUUAACCGGGGAACUGCGUCUGAUACUGGACGGCUUGAGUUUGGGAGAGGGACGCGGAAUUCCAGGUGUAGCGGUGAAAUGCGUAGAUAUCUGGAGGAACACCGGUGGCGAAGGCGGCGUCCUGGACCAACACUGACACUGAGGAGCGAAAGCCAGGGAGCAAAGCGGG
rnacentral:rRNA from 1 species